ensembl:lncRNA
GAUGGCACACGACGCAACGAUCAAAGUGUUGAUUUAUCUCUCUGACUUUGCGUUGCUGGUGCACAUUGCACCACGGCGCUGAGGUCACAGUGCAGAGCAACUGUGAAACCGCAGCUCACAAAUAUCACAUUCUUGCGAAAAUAACGUUAGCCGGUUCCAUUUUAAGUCUUCAAAUGUUUGGAUUUUCUGUUUCCUCCGCUGCAGAACGCUCGUGGUGAUUCAUCAAGAAAAACAAAUGGUCGACUUCAAAUUGGGCUUCUUGUUGGAACGUGACGGGGGCCUUUGAGAAGCAUCACCUGUUCCACACAAAUCCAACGGCCUUGUCUCUGCCCUGCCAGCUGCUGACAGCACGAGUCACUUUGAGUUGCUAUCAGCUCCAUCCUCCCAGCAUCCUCUGAGGAAGGAAGCAGGGCCAGGCUGCACCAGAGCCCCGCAAGCUUUGCAUCACCAUCUCCUGCAGGGACACUGGUUAUUUUUGGACCAAGGGCGGAUCACAUUACGACGGCGAAGAGGACCCCUCGGACAGGAAAUCGCCCAGCACGCCACCCAGCAGGUCCCGUUGGCUCUCAGCCGACCCGACUGUGAUUCGGCCUCAUAUGCAGACGUCGGUCAGGGAGAGAAACGCCUCACAGAACAAGAGACCCGUCUCCAGCGACGGGUGACCUCUAAAAUCCCAUCAGCCCCGGUGGGACACCUCAGGUUACACAUCACCCAUCAACCCUGGAAGAAAGCAAAACAGAGAUGACCGCUGCCUGAAACCGUCCUUCUCUCUCACACGUGGAUGCAUAAAAUGUGACCUGCACGCUGUCGCUGUGUGCAAAAAGGGCAGCAAGCUGAGGAAGCCAGGAAACAGAAGCUCACAUUGGAACAAAUGGAUCAAUGGUGAGCUUCUCGCCCACACCGCCAAUGGGUGCAGUGCGUUCAUUGGUUUGAAGGUACAGAGAGAGUAAGGGAGUAGGAGUCAACCGUCUCCCCCCUCUUUCAUCAUUUCCCCAGGACCCACCUUCAUUAAAACUCACUCCAGGGUUAUGAAUGGGCCUGUCUGGCCCGCGGCACGGCCUUGAGAGCCCAGCUGGUUUCUAUUAAAGACUCAAGGUGUGUGUGUGUGUGUGUGUGUGUGUGUGUGUCGGUCGCUGGUGGUGCGGGAGAGAUUGAGAGAGAGAGAGAAAGAGAGCGAGGCAGCGCUCGGUCAUCUGACACUGAGGGGUAACAGGUCCUGGUUUUAUCCCAGACAGGUAGCUCUGAUGAGACCCAGAAUCCAGGUGCUGCCAGAGCCGAACGAG